AUUAAUGACUAUUAAAGGGAAGACGACUAUUAGAGAGAAGUAAUAAUAAUUACUGUACGUACCAGACUAUUAAAGAAAAACUUAUUUUUUCACUGUCUUAUGCAACAUCUGACAGCGAGACACCUUGAGAUUUAUUGUUGCUUUCAAAUUUAUGCCCAGUUAAUUUUUAGGAAGAGAUCUCAUGUGUAGUUUAGGUAUUUGAUUGAUUUCCACUCCAGACGGAGUGCAGGUUACGUCUACAGACAUUCUAAAUAAUCCCUCUUUUGUUGCUGUUAACUUCAGCUCAGCUGUGCUCUUAUCAUUAGCUGCUGAGAGGGGGCUGUAACUGAGGCCCUCACACAGGCUGCAUCACAGCUUAUGAUUUCACACACACACAAACUGACCUCAACUUCCCUCUUUUGGGAUGAACACAGGUCUGCGCUUGCGAUUUCUUUUACUAACGAACAAAAAAGAUUUUUAUUUUUAUUCUACAGUUCCACACGUCCCUCUGUGAAAACAUGAUGGAGACAGAUGCAGGACGUGGGUCCUUUCGUGAACAGAUGUCAACGGGGUGGAGACUGGUGAACGACUUCUGACCCCAUAGGACGCUCUGACCCAACACUCAGCCUUACAGGAAGCCCUGCUUCCCUGUGACUCACACACAGACAUGAUGUAGGUUUGAUCAGAGGAUGUGAACCAGUGGUCAUCACACCUAAAUCUGACCACAAACCAUGUAAACAACAGCACCCUCUUAAAGGAGCCAUAGAUGGCGUUACUGCAGACACCACUAAGCUACUGAAACAUUGGAUGCUACAGGCCACAAAGAGAGCCUGUCUAAAUUACAGUUAGUUCAGACAAAGGUUAUUUUCUGGGUCAUUGUAAUUACAGCUGAUGGCAAAUCCAUCUCACCCAACUGAGUUAAAGCAAUUUGAAACCUGCCUAAACCGUGCACGUAAAAACAGCUGAUGUCUUUUCUAGGUCUUUGUUCUUAUUGUAGGACUUUCGUUCCUAACUUUACCUUCUCUGAGGCCCCACUCAGGGUUCUGAUGCAGACGUCUUCAUCGUCCACUUCUUGUCUCACGUGGACGUCUGAGGCUGAACAACGUUCACUGACCUCAUGCUUGCUCUUCAGUCGGCUCCUACUUUGGGUCUUCCUGAUCUGACCUUACGCGACCUUUCACUCAAACAGUGGAUGAGAAAUCAGGUUGUACGACUUCUGUUCUUUUGUCCUCAUACUGUGUCCUUGAUUCUUUUGAAAAACAUCACAUCUUUCUACAGCCCGACGGCUUAGAUGCAACACCACUUUGCUCAACAUGCUGAACAUUACUAUCAAGAUGUCGUCUUGUAGUCUGGUGCUUUGCUAAGACACUACUCUGCUCAGGCUGCAGAGUUGAUCGCGUUGACUGAAGCUAGUAAACUAGCAGAAGGAAAGUCUGUUACCAUCUACACAGACUCUACAGAUGCUCUGUGGAAGCAUAGGAAGCUUUUGAAGUCUGAUUGCAAACCUAUCUUACAUCAUGAUAAGGUUCUGCUUUGCUGGAUGCUGUCCUGCUGCCUACAGCUAAUGCUGUUUGUAACUGUACAACAUCAUAGACGACUUUGUUUCUGCCGACAUGCAGCUGCAGACGCUGCUGCGAAGGUCGCUGCCCAACAACCCCUCCAUCUCCUGAUCCUCGUUUCCUCUCCUCAUCCUUGUUUCCUCUCUCCAACUCUCUCUAUCCUUUCCUUCCUCUCUCCCUGUACUUUAAACAUUUUGUACCCCACAGGAACGCAGACUCUGGCUGACGAAUGGUUCCACCUGCAGCCAUGGAGUCUGGUUUGGGCCUGAUGGCAGCCGUGCCGCCCAAACACUUUUUCCGCAAAAUUCAGAUUUCCAACAGGUGAAAACAGGCGACAGGACCAUCACAUCAUUCAACCAGGGGACUGGGCGAUCGUUAAGGAGUUCAGGAGGAAGCACUGGGACUCCAAACGGUGGCGAAGCCCCUUCCAGGUCCUUCUGACGACCCACACGACUGUAAAGAUCGCAGAGGGAGCGACUUGGAUCCACUCCAUCCAGGAAGGUCCCGGAUCCAACAGACGACCAUCCAUCUAUAUCCCACAGAGAAAACCACCACUAAAGAAAAGAAUUGAGAAGGACGACCCUCGCUGUGCUCACACACGCACUGAGGCGAGGCUGCGUUGACCGUUCAGCUAAAGGUGUGAGCCAAGCGCCGCCUGAAGCUGCGCCGGUGAAUCACACUAUCAGACCAUACAUCUACACACACGCUCCUGAGAAAACACACACACGAGCAGCCUUGAGUUGCCGACGCUGGACGACGUGUAGACUCUCCACAUCACGGGAGUGACAGUGACUCAGACGACAUUGGGAGGAAACCUGGCGGUGAUAACGAAUCCCAAGUGUCUCUGUGAUCAGCUGAUCACAACCUGAAGAACCCCAACGAACUGGCAAUACUUCAACACACAGGUUGGAAACAAUCUAACGCUACUGUUCAACAGGAAGAAGCAGAUUGUUACGAGACAUCAAUUGUAAACAUGCUUUGUUAGGCUUCAUUUUAUGUUACUUGGAUUGUUGCCUUUAUCAUAUGAUGUUUCUAUGUAACUUUACACACUACUUUUGAAUGAGAAAAUUUCACAUAAUUCACAACACUGAGUUUAAAUAUCCUGAAGUUGACUUGGUGUUUAAUUUGCUCACAAUGACUUUAUUCACUGCUGCAAAAAUGUUUUAUCCUUCAUCUACAGAUGAAAGACAACACGAGCGGAAAUAUGCAUCAUCAUUCUGGUUAAAUCCCUGAAUCUCGUAUUCAUUCUAGACGCAAAUGUACAAUUAAAGAUUCGAAAGCAUGAAAUCUAUCUUAAGAUUAUAUGAAACAGAACCCCACCGGAAACCUAUGGCUAUCAUACAUUAAUUAUCUUUAUUACAUUACAAUUGAAUGGCCAUAGACACGUUGUUAGCAGAGAAAAGAGGCGUUUGUGUUAUGUUUGGAGACGCAUGUUGUACUUACAUCCUGAAUAACACUGAUUCUAAUGGUAUUGUGGCGAAGGCGCUACACGGCCUUCAGAAUCUCAGCUAACUCUGGUAUAGAUUCUUCCUCUUGGAAUUGGCUAGACGAAAUGUCUGGAAACUGGAAAUCUGUUCUCAUGUCCACAGCUGUUUCCUUUAUAAUUGAGAUGGCUGUGAUUCUCUUGUUUGGUUUUUGCGUUAUCCCACUGGUUAGAGGUCUCAUCAUGCGUGCGACCCUAGCAACACUCUCGUAUCAAAUGACACAAUGCACUAUGCUCAAAAACCCCAACUCUAAUUUACUUAAUGACUUUGACGAUGAUCUUAGGCUAUCGGAUCA